rnacentral:rRNA from 1 species
ACACNUGCAAGUCGAACGAGAACGGCUCUAGCUUGCUAGAGUGUCAGCUAAGUGGCGGACGGGUGAGUAAUGUAUAGUUAAUCUGCCCUUUAGAGAGGAAUAACUACUGGAAACGGUAGCUAAUACCUCAUACUCCUUCUUUAUUAAUUAAAGUUGGGAAAUGUUUUUUCGCUAAAGGAUGAGACUAUAUGGUAUCAGGUAGUUGGUGGGGUAAGAGCCUACCAAGCCAAUGACGCCUAGCUGGUCUGAGAGGAUGAUCAGCCACACUGGAACUGAGACACGGUCCAGACUCCUACGGGAGGCAGCAGUGGGGAAUAUUGCACAAUGGAGGAAACUCUGAUGCAGCAACGCCGCGUGGAGGAUGACACAUUUCGGUGCGUAAACUCCUUUUAUAUGGGAAGAUAAUGACGUCCAUAUUAAUAAGCACCGCUACUCCGUGCC